CUUCUGAUAUUGAUAUUUCCAAAUAUUUUGAACAGAACCUAACAAAAUAUCCGAAAAAAUGAAAACGACUGAAGUAAUAUUUAUCUGUUUUGUCAUUCUCUUUGUUUAUUGCUCAGCUUCACCAAUUAUUUACGAACAAUCUUCAACAGAAACAGGGAAUAUUCCUGGUGAAAUGUAUACGAGUUCUCCACGAUACGAAGAAGAAAGUUUCUCUGGAAGAAGAGUAUCUGGUCGUUUAGAUCCAAAAUUACUGGCGUCUCUAGCUGGAUGAAUGGCAGAUUGCUCGAUAGGUUAUGGACUAUUCUAUAGGAGCCAUAAUAUAGUUUUCUAUGGAUACUCAUGAAAUAUGGAACAUAUUGAUAUAAUCAAUGGAAUUAUUUGAAUAAAAUAUUCGAAAACAA